CAGCAGCCGCGGUAAUACGAAGGGGGCUAGCGUUGUUCGGAAUCACUGGGCGUAAAGAGCACGUAGGCGGAUCUUUAAGUCAGAGGUGAAAUCCCGAGGCUCAACCUCGGAACUGCCUUUGAUACUGGGGAUCUCGAGUCCGGGAGAGGUGAGUGGAACUGCGAGUGUAGAGGUGAAAUUCGUAGAUAUUCGCAAGAACACCAGUGGCGAAGGCGGCUCACUGGCCCGGAACUGACGCUGAGGUGCGAAAGCGUGGGGAGCAAACAGGAUUAGAUACCCCAGUAGUCCCUGUCUCUUAUAC
rnacentral:rRNA from 1 species